rnacentral:rRNA from 1 species
CAUAUCAGUCAUGCAUAGCAUAUCAAUAAGCGGAGGAAAAGAAACUAACAAGGAUUCCCUUAGUAACGGCGAGUGAAGCGGGAAGAGCUCAAAUUUGAAAUCUUCAAGGUUUUACCUUGACGAAUUGUAGUUUAAAGAAGUGUUUUCUGUUGAAGUUUUGGUAAAAGUUCUUUGGAAUAGGACAUCAUAGAGGGUGAGAAUCCCGUAUUUGACCAUUACUUUCAGCUUUGUGAUACACUUUCAAAGAGUCGGAUUGUUUGGGAAUGCAGUCCAAAAUGGGUGGUAAAUUUCAUCUAAAGCUAAAUAUUGGCGAGAGACCGAUAGCGAACAAGUACCGUGAGGGAAAGAUGAAAAGAACUUUGAAAAGAGAGUUAAACAGUACGUGAAAUUGUCAAAAGGGAAGCGUUUGACACCAGUGUUGUUUUCUCGAAAAUCAAUUAAAAAGAGUUGGAUUUUGUGUUGUAUUGACUUUAUCAGGCUUUCUUCACUCUUUUCCAGCUUUUUUUAAUGCACUUUUCGUUUAACAAGUCAACAUCAGUUUCUUUGUUGUAAAAAGGUCAUUGGAAGGUGGCUUUCUCUUCGGAGAAAGUGUUUAUAGCCUUUGACUCAUGCAAUCGGAGAGACUGAGGUCUGCAGCGUAGAUCCUUCGGGGUUAGAUACAUUUGUGCUAAGUUAUAGCUUUUCAUAGACAACUUGUUGACUAUGUUUAGUCUUGUAGCUUACUCGCUUAUGCUAUUUUACCUACGCUUAGGAUGUUGAACUCUAUCACACACAG